UACGAAGGGGGGCUAGCGUUGUUCGGAAUUACUGGGCGUAAAGGGCGCGUAGGCGGAUUGUACAGUCAGGCGUGAAAUUCCCGGGCUCAACCUGGGGGCUGCGCUUGAGACGUGCGAUCUUGAGUGGGGAAGAGGGUCGUGGAAUUCCCAGUGUAGAGGUGAAAUUCGUAGAUAUUGGGAAGAACACCGGUGGCGAAGGCGGCGACCUGGUCCUUGACUGACGCUGAGGCGCGAAAGCGUGGGGAGCAAACAGG
rnacentral:rRNA from 1 species